AUUGACCUUUGGCGGCAGGCCUAACACAUGCAAGUCGAACGGUAACAGGAAACAGCUUGCUGUUUCGCUGACGAGUGGCGGACGGGUGAGUAAUGUCUGGGAAACUGCCUGAUGGAGGGGGAUAACUACUGGAAACGGUAGCUAAUACCGCAUAACGUCGCAAGACCAAAGAGGGGGACCCUCGGGCCUCUUGCCAUCGGAUGUGCCCAGAUGGGAUUAGCUUGUUGGUGGGGUAACGGCUCACCAAGGCGACGAUCCCUAGCUGGUCUGAGAGGAUGACCAGCCACACUGGAACUGAGACACGGUCCAGACUCCUACGGGAGGCAGCAGUGGGGAAUAUUGCACAAUGGGCGCAAGCCUGAUGCAGCCAUGCCGCGUGUAUGAAGAAGGCCUUCGGGUUGUAAAGUACUUUCAGCGGGGAGGAAGGGAGUAAAGUUAAUACCUUUGCUCAUUGACGUUACCCGCAGAAGAAGCACCGGCUAACUCCGUGCCAGCAGCCGCGGUAAUACGGAGGGUGCAAGCGUUAAUCGGAAUUACUGGGCGUAAAGCGCACGCAGGCGGUUUGUUAAGUCAGAUGUGAAAUCCCCGGGCUCAACCUGGGAACUGCAUCUGAUACUGGCAAGCUUGAGUCUCGUAGAGGGGGGUAGAAUUCCAGGUGUAGCGGUGAAAUGCGUAGAGAUCUGGAGGAAUACCGGUGGCGAAGGCGGCCCCCUGGACGAAGACUGACGCUCAGGUGCGAAAGCGUGGGGAGCAAACAGGAUUAGAUACCCUGGUAGUCCACGCCGUAAACGAUGUCGACUUGGAGGUUGUGCCCUUGAGGCGUGGCUUCCGGAGCUAACGCGUUAAGUCGACCGCCUGGGGAGUACGGCCGCAAGGUUAAAACUCAAAUGAAUUGACGGGGGCCCGCACAAGCGGUGGAGCAUGUGGUUUAAUUCGAUGCAACGCGAAGAACCUUACCUGGUCUUGACAUCCACGGAAGUUUUCAGAGAUGAGAAUGUGCCUUCGGGAACCGUGAGACAGGUGCUGCAUGGCUGUCGUCAGCUCGUGUUGUGAAAUGUUGGGUUAAGUCCCGCAACGAGCGCAACCCUUAUCCUUUGUUGCCAGCGGUCCGGCCGGGAACUCAAAGGAGACUGCCAGUGAUAAACUGGAGGAAGGUGGGGAUGACGUCAAGUCAUCAUGGCCCUUACGACCAGGGCUACACACGUGCUACAAUGGCGCAUACAAAGAGAAGCGACCUCGCGAGAGCAAGCGGACCUCAUAAAGUGCGUCGUAGUCCGGAUUGGAGUCUGCAACUCGACUCCAUGAAGUCGGAAUCGCUAGUAAUCGUGGAUCAGAAUGCCACGGUGAAUACGUUCCCGGGCCU
rnacentral:rRNA from 1 species